AGGGACUUAGGCUAAAUUUAAACCAAGGGCCUUCAAAGCCCUAAACGGGGGUGAAAACCCCUCAGCCCCUG